rnacentral:rRNA from 1 species
AACGAACGUUAGCGGCGCGCCUAACACAUGCAAGUCGCACGAGAAAGGGCUUCGGCCCCGGUAAAGUGGCGCACGGGUGAGUAACACGUGGGUAAUCUGCCCUCGAGCGGGGGAUAACAUUCCGAAAGGAGUGCUAAUACCGCAUAAGACCACGAUCUCGAAAGAGGACGCGGUCAAAGCUGGCCUCUAUACAUAAGCUAGCACUUGAGGAUGAGCCCGCGGCGCAUCAGCUAGUUGGUGAGGUAAUGGCUCACCAAGGCUAAGACGCGUAGCUGGUCUGAGAGGAUGAUCAGCCACACUGGAACUGAGACACGGUCCAGACUCCUACGGGAGGAAGCAGUGGGGAAUCUUUCGCAAUGGGCGAAAGCCUGACGCAGCGACGCCGCGUGAGUGAUGAAGGCCUUCGGGUUGUAAAGCUCUGUGGGGAGAGAAGAAUUAGUGCAGCCUAAUACGUUGCAUGAUGACGGUAUCUCCUUAGCAAGCACCGGCUAACUCUGUGCCAGCAGCCGCCGUAACAC